rnacentral:rRNA from 1 species
CUACGGGGUGCACCAGUGGGGAAUAUUGCACAAUGGGCGCAAGCCUGAUGCAGCAACGCCGUGUGAGUGAAGAAGGCCUUCGGGUUGUAAAACUCUGUCCUAAGGGAAGAAAAAAAUGACGGUACCUUAGGAGGAAGCCCCGGCUAACUACGUGCCAGCAGCCGCGGUAAUACGUAGGGGGCAAGCGUUAUCCGGAAUCACUGGGCGUAAAGGGUGCGUAGGCGGCCCAGCAAGUCAGAGGUGAAAGGCAUUGGCUCAACCAAUGUAAGCCUUUGAAACUGUUGGGCUUGAGUGCAGGAGAGGUAAGUGGAAUUCCUAGUGUAGAGGUGAAAUUCGUAGAUAUUAGGAGGAACACCAGUGGCGAAGGCGACUUACUGGACUGUAACUGACGCUGAGGCACGAAAGCGUGGGGAGCGAACAGGAUUAGAUACCCUUGUAGUC